GUUUAAUGACUAAUACUCCUCAUUUCAUGAUAUUACUUUGUAAUAUUAUUUUUGCGUGAAUUUCACCCAAAUCAGUGUUCAGACACUGUCAAUGAUGUCGGCGGAGCGUUAUAAGACGAUAACAAUUAAAUGUUUGUGUGUUUUUCAGUGCAUAAUUUUGUGAUAAUUUUGCUCAAACUUUCCAGGUGAUGUGGUUAUACUAAUACGACCCGUAGUGACGUCAACUGAGGUCGUAUUAGUUCUAAUACGACCUGUACAUUUGAGUAGGCGAGUGAAUUAGUUACUAAUACAGCACAAUAGAACAAUAGAAAUUCACGCAAACAUGAUAUUACAACAAAAUAUCGAUAACUAUGUGUGACGUUUCUAGGGGGGGGGGUCUCCAGAGAAACGUCCACAUGACGUUUCUCGUUGACAAUAACAGAUAGUGAUAUAACAGAUAUCCUUUUAACAAGAACUUAAAGUAUACUGCAACUAAUCCUAGCUUGUUCAGCUAAUCGACUAAGAAAAAAUGACAAUAAUUCUAUAAUACUGUCAUAAAUUAUUUCCUCAGACUUUCUUAGACUUGUAAAAAUAUUCCUGCAUUGAUGGCAGCCACCUAUUUUCUCACCACAAUCUCUUUAAUUUAAAUGACUGAAAUCUUAACAACAUUUAUCUCUCUAAACUUUCAAACACGAUGUAUUUUUGCAGACACAUUACGAAGUUUGAAUUUUGCUCGCAGACAUUAAAUAAUAGCUCUGGACACCAGUCCUAUAGACCCUACCAGAGAAAACACAUAACGUUGGGCCAACAGGGCCGCCGAGAGGGCCCCAUGACAUCAUUAUCUUUAAGCUAGACCCAAGUCAGUCACCCAACUAGACCUUAGCUCGAUUUCAAAAAUGCUCUGACCACUUUAAAGAACCUAUUCAAUUUUAGGCUCUCGUUCUCAAGUUGGGGCCCUAUUAAGGUGGGGGCCCAGGGCAAUUUGCCCCCCUCUCGGCAGCCCUGUGGGCCAACAUUUCAUUCCAUUCAUAAUGUAACACAAUAUUAAAGGGAAAUGGCACCAUAUUUUUUUAUUUUCUCAUCAGAACCUUUAAGUACUAUUUAAAGCACGCGUAG
rnacentral:lncRNA from 1 species